rnacentral:rRNA from 1 species
GACGAACGCUGGCGGCGUGCUUAACACAUGCAAGUCGAACGGGCCUUGUCCCCUUUUUUUUUGGGGGUGGGGUUAGUGGCGAACGGGUGAGUAACACGUGAGUAACCUGCCCCUCACUUCUGGAUAACCGCUUGAAAGGGUGGCUAAUACGGGGUGUUCUGGCCUGCUCGCAUGGGUGGGUUUGGAAAGAUUCGACCGGUUUUGGUUGUUUUGGUGGGGGAUGGGCUCGCGGCCUAUCAGCUUGUUGGUGGGGUGAUGGCCUGCCAAGGCUUUGACGGGUAGCCGGCCUGAGAGGGUGGGCGGUCACACUGGGACUGAGACACGGCCCAGACUCCUACGGGAGGCAGAAGUGGGGAAUAUUGCACAAUGGGCGCAAGCCUGAUGCAGCGACGCCGCGUGAGGGAUGGAGGCCUUCGGGUUGUGAACCUCUUUCGCCAGUGAAGAAGGUCCUGCUCUUUGUGGUGGGGUUGACGGUAGCUGGGUUAAUGAAGCGCCGGCUAACUACGUG